rnacentral:rRNA from 1 species
AACAAACGCUGGCGGCAUGCCUAACACAUGCAAGUCGAACGAGACCUUCGGGUCUAGUGGCGCACGGGUGCGUAACGCGUGGGAACCUGCCCUUAGGUUCGGAAUAACUCCCCGAAAGGGGUGCUAAUACCGGAUAAUGUCUUCGGACCAAAGAUUUAUCGCCUUUGGAUGGGCCCGCGUUGGAUUAGCUAGUUGGUAGGGUAAAAGCCUACCAAGGCGACGAUCCAUAGCUGGUCUGAGAGGAUGAUCAGCCACACUGGGACUGAGACACGGCCCAGACUCCUACGGGAGGCAGCAGUGGGGAAUAUUGGACAAUGGGCGAAAGCCUGAUCCAGCAAUGCCGCGUGAGUGAUGAAGGCCUUAGGGUUGUAAAGCUAUUUUAACCGGGAUGAUAAUGACAGUACCGGGAGAAUAAGCUCCGGCUAACUCCGUG